GAUGAACGCUGGCGGCGUGCCUAAUACAUGCAAGUCGAGCGAACGGACGAGAAGCUUGCUUCUCUGAUGUUAGCGGCGGACGGGUGAGUAACACGUGGAUAACCUACCUAUAAGACUGGGAUAACUUCGGGAAACCGUAGCUAAUACCGGAUAAUAUUUUGAACCGCAUGGUUUAAAAGUGAAAGACGGUCUUGCUGUCACUUAUAGAUGGAUCCGCGCUGCAUUAGCUAGUUGGUAAGGUAACGGCUUACCAAGGCAACGAUGCAUAGCCGACCUGAGAGGGUGAUCGGCCACACUGGAACUGAGACACGGUCCAGACUCCUACGGGAGGCAGCAGUAGGGAAUCUUCCGCAAUGGGCGAAAGCCUGACGGAGCAACGCCGCGUGAGUGAUGAAGGUCUUCGGAUCGUAAAACUCUGUUAUUAGGGAAGAACAUAUGUGUAAGUAACUGUGCACAUCUUGACGGUACCUAAUCAGAAAGCCACGGCUAACUACGUG
rnacentral:rRNA from 1 species